CAUGGUUUGAGGCUCUCGCAAGCUUCAGUGAAGGUUGUGAGCGUCCCUGAGGGGAGGCACUGAUGUCACUGCCCCCUUGCACAGAGGUGGACCACUGGCCCUCGGCCACCCAGCUCACGACUGGUACACGUAGAUGGAAGAGGUGGAAUUCGGAUUCGAGUCUGAGUGGUUCUCGAGAAUUCCGCAGAGACGCUCCGGGACGCGCAGGUCUUCAAAGAUGAUUUAUACCGCUAGUCCCUGCAGCUCUGUGCCCUGUGAUCACGCCGGGGGGAUGGCCCCUUCCCUCCACACCGCCCAUCCCUGAGCCAAGAAGAUUCCUCUUUUUCCUCGUGAUUUCUUCUAUUGCUUGGAAACGUAUAAACCACUUGGGAAGUUUAAGAAAAGUGAAGGAAGUUAAGAAAAAUUUAUAAAUGCUUUUCCAGAAGGCUGGAUUCCUAGAAGACAGGGAUUUAUGGUGUGAGAGCUCCAGCCCCCGCAAACCCACAGCCAAGGUCAACAGCACGAGGCGGGCAGCCCUGCCAAGCGAGGAGGGGAGCAAGGACUUUGAGAGCUGGUUGCACAGAAAACCAAAGUACAUGCAUUGAAAAAAAAAAAAAAAAAAUCCCUUCUCUCCCUCAUGUUCCCAAACCAGGGGCUUAAACAAAAGUCCCCCAGACUGGCCCGGACAAGGCCCCUUGUCUGGAAAGAGCGAACCUUCUUGGAGACAAACUUCUGAAGCUACCCGGGGGUGGGGGGGAGUGCUCCCCAAGGGUCUGUGGAGGGCCUGAAAGGGGUCCUGUUGCUAGACCCAGCCACAGCAGCCCCCUUGUGGCUUUGGGAGGGUGGUGAGCAGGCUACCCAUGGUGCCCCAUCCUUCUAGCUAACCAAGGACAGCUGAAAUGGACAGAGGAGCCCUGGGCCCUUCGCAAAACACCCCCCCCAACAUGGGAGCCUGAUUUGCGCAGUGUCCCGUCCGCCUUCUGGAGGCGGGGGUCUUGAUGACCGAGGCACAGUGAAUGCCCAGCAGCCCAGGGGCCAGGGCUUCCUGUCACAAACCUAGAGCAUUGAGUCUCUGGCAGGGGAGAAUAAGCUUAUCCCAGCCUCCCCGGGAGGAGAGCAGGGGCCUGGAGACCACCUUGAGUCAAACCCCAGUGACCUGGUGCUGGGAUGACAGCCUCCACCUUGAUCGUGAACCCGGGCAGGUGCAACAGAACGUCCGCCGGUUAUCCGCGCUUCUGACGUUUCUAGCCCCACGGAGUGUCGGGCACCUGGGAAAGUAAAACAAGGCAGCCUCCUGCCCCGAGAAGCACCUCCGAGUGGGGAGCACCGACAUGGAGACAGAUGAUGACCAUCACUUGAGGGGCUGUGGGUCCCCCCAAGAGGGACGGAGCGCCCCAGGAUACAGGGAAGGACAUGGGUCAGAGAAAGUUCCUGAAGGAGGUGCCCCCAGGGGUGGCUGGAGUUCAUCAGACAGACACCCAGUGGGAGGGGAGCCUGGAGGGAACAUUCCAGCUAAGUCCACAGCAUGUGCAAAGGCCCAGAA